rnacentral:rRNA from 1 species
UACGUAGGGUGCAAGCGUUAUCCGGAAUUAUUGGGCGUAAAGAGCUCGUAGGCGGUUUGUUGCGUCGGCUGUGAAAUCCCGAGGCUCAACCUCGGGUCUGCAGUCGAUACGAGCAAACUAGAGUGUUGCAGGGGAGACUGGAAUUCCUGGUGUAGCGGUGAAAUGCGCAGAUAUCAGGAGGAACACCGGUGGCGAAGGCGGGUCUCUGGGGCA